rnacentral:rRNA from 1 species
AGCGUACACGGUGGAUGCCCUGGCAGUCAGAGGCGAUGAAGGACGUGCUAAUCUGCGAUAAGCGUCGGUAAGGUGAUAUGAACCGUUAUAACCGGCGAUUUCCGAAUGGGGAAACCCAGUGUGAUUCGUCACACUAUCAUUAACUGAAUCCAUAGGUUAAUGAGGCGAACCGGGGGAACUGAAACAUCUAAGUACCCCGAGGAAAAGAAAUCAACCGAGAUUCCCCCAGUAGCGGCGAGCGAACGGGGAGCAGCCCAGAGCCUGAAUCAGUGUGUGUGUUAGUGGAAGCGUCUGGAAAGGCGCGCGAUACAGGGUGACAGCCCCGUACACAAAAAUGCACAUGCUGUGAGCUCGAUGAGUAGGGCGGGACACGUGGUAUCCUGUCUGAAUAUGGGGGGACCAUCCUCCAAGGCUAAAUACUCCUGACUGACCGAUAGUGAACCAGUACCGUGAGGGAAAGGCGAAAAGAACCCCGGCGAGGGGAGUGAAAAAGAACCUGAAACCGUGUACGUACAAGCAGUGGGAGCACGCUUCGGCGUGUGACUGCGUACCUUUUGUAUAAUGGGUCAGCGACUUAUAUUCUGUAGCAAGGUUAACCGAAUAGGGGAGCCGAAGGGAAACCGAGUCUUAACUGGGCGUUAAGUUGCAGGGUAUAGACCCGAAACCCGGUGAUCUAGCCAUGGGCAGGUUGAAGGUUGGGUAACACUAACUGGAGGACCGAACCGACUAAUGUUGAAAAAUUAGCGGAUGACUUGUGGCUGGGGGUGAAAGGCCAAUCAAACCGGGAGAUAGCUGGUUCUCCCCGAAAGCUAUUUAGGUAGCGCCUCGUGAAUUCAUCUCCGGGGGUAGAGCACUGUUUCGGCAAGGGGGUCAUCCCGACUUACCAACCCGAUGCAAACUGCGAAUACCGGAGAAUGUUAUCACGGGAGACACACGGCGGGUGCUAACGUCCGUCGUGAAGAGGGAAACAACCCAGACCGCCAGCUAAGGUCCCAAAGUCAUGGUUAAGUGGGAAACGAUGUGGGAAGGCCCAGACAGCCAGGAUGUUGGCUUAGAAGCAGCCAUCAUUUAAAGAAAGCGUAAUAGCUCACUGGUCGAGUCGGCCUGCGCGGAAGAUGUAACGGGGCUAAACCAUGCACCGAAGCUGCGGCAGCGACACUAUGUGUUGUUGGGUAGGGGAGCGUUCUGUAAGCCUGUGAAGGUGGCCUGUGAGGGUUGCUGGAGGUAUCAGAAGUGCGAAUGCUGACAUAAGUAACGAUAAAGCGGGUGAAAAGCCCGCUCGCCGGAAGACCAAGGGUUCCUGUCCAACGUUAAUCGGGGCAGGGUGAGUCGACCCCUAAGGCGAGGCCGAAAGGCGUAGUCGAUGGGAAACAGGUUAAUAUUCCUGUACUUGGUGUUACUGCGAAGGGGGGACGGAGAAGGCUAUGUUGGCCGGGCGACGGUUGUCCCGGUUUAAGCGUGUAGGCUGGUUUUCCAGGCAAAUCCGGAAAAUCAAGGCUGAGGCGUGAUGACGAGGCACUACGGUGCUGAAGCAACAAAUGCCCUGCUUCCAGGAAAAGCCUCUAAGCAUCAGGUAACAUCAAAUCGUACCCCAAACCGACACAGGUGGUCAGGUAGAGAAUACCAAGGCGCUUGAGAGAACUCGGGUGAAGGAACUAGGCAAAAUGGUGCCGUAACUUCGGGAGAAGGCACGCUGAUACGUAGGUGAAGCGACUUGCUCGUGGAGCUGAAAUCAGUCGAAGAUACCAGCUGGCUGCAACUGUUUAUUAAAAACACAGCACUGUGCAAACACGAAAGUGGACGUAUACGGUGUGACGCCUGCCCGGUGCCGGAAGGUUAAUUGAUGGGGUUAGCGGUAACGCGAAGCUCUUGAUCGAAGCCCCGGUAAACGGCGGCCGUAACUAUAACGGUCCUAAGGUAGCGAAAUUCCUUGUCGGGUAAGUUCCGACCUGCACGAAUGGCGUAAUGAUGGCCAGGCUGUCUCCACCCGAGACUCAGUGAAAUUGAACUCGCUGUGAAGAUGCAGUGUACCCGCGGCAAGACGGAAAGACCCCGUGAACCUUUACUAUAGCUUGACACUGAACAUUGAGCCUUGAUGUGUAGGAUAGGUGGGAGGCUUUGAAGUGUGGACGCCAGUCUGCAUGGAGCCGACCUUGAAAUACCACCCUUUAAUGUUUGAUGUUCUAACGUUGGCCCCUGAUCGGGGUUGCGGACAGUGUCUGGUGGGUAGUUUGACUGGGGCGGUCUCCUCCUAAAGAGUAACGGAGGAGCACGAAGGUUGGCUAAUCCUGGUCGGACAUCAGGAGGUUAGUGCAAUGGCAUAAGCCAGCUUGACUGCGAGCGUGACGGCGCGAGCAGGUGCGAAAGCAGGUCAUAGUGAUCCGGUGGUUCUGAAUGGAAGGGCCAUCGCUCAACGGAUAAAAGGUACUCCGGGGAUAACAGGCUGAUACCGCCCAAGAGUUCAUAUCGACGGCGGUGUUUGGCACCUCGAUGUCGGCUCAUCACAUCCUGGGGCUGAAGUAGGUCCCAAGGGUAUGGCUGUUCGCCAUUUAAAGUGGUACGCGAGCUGGGUUUAGAACGUCGUGAGACAGUUCGGUCCCUAUCUGCCGUGGGCGCUGGAGAACUGAGGGGGGCUGCUCCUAGUACGAGAGGACCGGAGUGGACGCAUCACUGGUGUUCGGGUUGUCAUGCCAAUGGCACUGCCCGGUAGCUAAAUGCGGAAGAGAUAAGUGCUGAAAGCAUCUAAGCACGAAACUUGCCCCGAGAUGAGUUCUCCCUGACUCCUUGA